rnacentral:rRNA from 1 species
AGCGCGGGGGCAACCCUGGCGGCGAGCGGCGAACGGGUGAGUAAUGCAUCGGAACGUGUCCUUGAGUGGGGGAUAACCCGGCGAAAGCCGGGCUAAUACCGCAUGCGCUCUGAGGAGGAAAGCGGGGGAGCCUGAGGGAAACUGAGGGGCCUCGCGCUCGUGGAGCGGCCGAUGUCCGAUUAGGUAGUUGGUGGGGUAAUGGCCUACCAAGCCUGCGAUCGGUAGCUGGUCUGAGAGGAUGAUCAGCCACACUGGGACUGAGACACGGCCCAGACUCCUACGGGAGGCAGCAGUGGGGAAUUUUGGACAAUGGGGGCAACCCUGAUCCAGCCAUGCCGCGUGCGGGAAGAAGGCCUUCGGGUUGUAAACCGCUUUUAGCUGGGAAGAAAAGGUCACGGAUAACACCCGUGGUUUUUGACGGUACCGGCGGAAUCAGCACCGGCUAACUACGUGCCAGCAGCCGCGGUAAUACGUAGGGUGCGAGCGUUAAUCGGAAUUACUGGGCGUAAAGCGUGCGCAGGCGGUUCGUUGUGUCUGUGGUGAAAGCCCCGGGCUUAACCUGGGAAUGGCCAUGGAAACUGGCGAGCUGGAGUCUGGCAGAGGGGGGUGGAAUUCCGCGUGUAGCAGUGAAAUGCGUAGAGAUGCGGAGGAACACCGAUGGCGAAGGCAGCCCCCUGGGUCAAGACUGACGCUCAGGCACGAAAGCGUGGGGAGCAAACAGG